AUUUUCUUUACAAUAUCUGUAAAUUUGGAAUUUUCUCUUCUGUGCUACAAAUUCAUUUUUGUUAAGAGCAUGGGAUAUUUGAGAGUUACAUUUCUUUUUUGUGCAUUCAUGGAAGUUGUUAACUUUGAUUUGUCAGUCUUGAGUUGCCUGAUUAUUACUUCAGGUGAAUUCUUGAGGUUAAAUAGAAUCUUAGUAAAUAAUAAAGUUUCUCCAUUCACAGUUCCUAAUGUCUGGUUUUUGAAGAAAGGAUCAUUUCUAAAGAUGUUAUUAUUCUUGUAAAGUUUGUUUUGUUUGUGUAAUAAUAGUAAUAACUU